rnacentral:snRNA from 1 species
GAGUGUUAUAGCUCUUUUAGAAUUUGUCUAGCAGGUUUUCUGAUCUUCACUGGAAAGUUUUA